rnacentral:rRNA from 1 species
UACGGGGGGGGCAAGCGUUGUUCGGAAUUACUGGGCGUAAAGGGCUCGUAGGCGGCCAACUAAGUCAGACGUGAAAUCCCUCGGCUUAACCGGGGAACUGCGUCUGAUACUGGAUGGCUUGAGUGUGGGAGAGGGAUGCGGAAUUCCAGGUGUAGCGGUGAAAUGCGUAGAUAUCAGGAGGAACACCAACGGCGAAGGCAGCUCGCUGGGACGGUACUGACGCUGAGACGCGAAAGCGUGGGGAGCGAACAGG